AAGCUCAGCUCCCAUGGAAGGCUCCGCUUGACCAGUUAAGCAAAGAGUCUAAUUUGCAGGACUCAGGCAACGAACCUAAGAGGGUAGAGGAAGAAGGGUCCCCCCCACCCAACAAUACUCCUCCAUUUGAGAGGUCAAGUCGAAUUCUCCUCCCUUUGAGUGUGGGCUGGACUUUCUGACUCGCUAUUAAGAAAUAGAGCAAAGUAGAAGUGACAAUGUGUGAACUUGGAGACUAGGUUAUAAAAGGCGUUGCAAAGUCCUCCUCUUUCUUUCUGGGGAAAGUUAUGCCAUGUUGUAAGGACACACAGAUAUCCACGUGAUGAGGAGCUGAGGCCUGCUACCAAAAGCCGUGUGAACGAGCCACCUUGUAGGUCCCCAGCCCUAGUAAAGCCUUCACAUGCUGUCAGCCUCUGCCAACAUCUCGGCUGCAGCUACUGAGAGACUUUGAACCAGAACCACCAGCUCGGCUGCUCUGGAACUCCUGACCCACAGAAACUGUGAGAUAAUAAAGACUCGUUGUUUUAGACUACUAAAGUUUUGGAGUAAUUCAUUACACAACAGCAGAUGACUGAUACGAUGAGGAAAUGAGCAUUUCAAAGGGAGAGGGAUCAAGCAUGUCCGUGCUGCUGAGAAGUCCAGCUGGAUUCAGCAGCUUGUGCCCGUGGUUACCCUCUGGUGGGACUGAGUCCUGCUGGCUGUCCCUGAGGUGAGGAGUCUAAGCGUCUAUAGGAGUCCAGGCCAGGAUGAGCACACACAGUUGCAGGAAACGAGCAGUCAUUUGCUGUCUCACUUCUGUGAUGCUGGAGGGAAAGAAAAGAAAGAAGCGUCUGGGGCUGGCCUUGAUCAGUCCUCACUUAGGAGACAGUUGUGGCCCGUUGCAAGGUGAAUCUGGAAAAGCCUGACUUUUAAAACAGGCACCAACGCACAAGUCUGCUCUGUGCCUUUGGCCAGGAGGCUUAUGGAGUAAAAUCAAAUAAGUGAAUUUUCUCUGUUCCCUCUUGGGAUUCCUCUGGGUAAAGUCAAGACAUCUGUUGAUACUUUAUUAUUUUCAGUAAAGGACCCAAACUGACUCGUGUGUUAGUCGGCCAUCACCUGACCGAGCAGCUCUCCAGGGGGAGAUGUCCCAGGAGUCUGACUUCAGUUUCACCUCUCACCUGGAACUGUCUCGGAGAAGCACCACGGAACUCCGUGCCAGAUGGGCUGAGCCCUUCUCGCCUGCUUACUUUUUGACAGAGAACAGCCAGUUUG
rnacentral:lncRNA from 1 species